GAAGGAAGAAAUGGGGAAAAUUGGGUCUGGAAGACAGUUAUGUUUCUGCUUCUUAGAGUUGGAAGAGCUCAGUUUAAUCAAGUACCAAAAGUACUUUAAAGGUUUUUUUUUCAAAUCUCAAAUGUUUUCCAGUCAAGGAUAGCUUGUCCACAACAAAGGUAAGUUUGAGAUCCAGUCAGAUUAAACAGCCUACACUAGAAAAGGCUUCCACUCAGGAAAUUCCCACUUAGGAACCAUUGAGUUAUAUCCUUUUGAUUUGUGGAUAUAAUUCUAAAAUAUGUGUAUCUCUAAUAGCUAAAAUUCACUUCCUUAAUUUUUUUUGUUCAGUGUGUCAAACAGUAUUCUUGAAUGUUAUACCCCAGCCCAAACCAUUUCAACUGAGUUUGCUGUUAAAUUGAAAAUUGACUUAGCCAACCGAGAGACAAGCAUCUUCAGUUACCGUGAAGAUCCCAUUGUCUAUGAAAUUCAUCCAACCAAAUCUUUUAUUAGGCAUGUCAACAUCGCUCUAAUUCAGAGAUAAUCUGUUGUACCACUCCUUCCCUGCAACAGCUGAAUCUGCAACUCC
rnacentral:lncRNA from 1 species